GACGAACGCUGGCGGCGUGCUUAACACAUGCAAGUCGAACGGAAAGGCCCUGCUUUUGUGGGGUGCUCGAGUGGCGAACGGGUGAGUAACACGUGAGUAACCUGCCCUUGACUUUGGGAUAACUUCAGGAAACUGGGGCUAAUACCGGAUAGGAGCUCCUGCUGCAUGGUGGGGGUUGGAAAGUUUCGGCGGUUGGGGAUGGACUCGCGGCUUAUGAGCUUGUUGGUGGGGUAGUGGCUUACCAAGGCUUUGACGGGUAGCCGGCCUGAGAGGGUGACCGGCCACAAUGGGACUGAGAGACGGCCCAGACUCCAACGGGAGGCAGCAGGGGGGAAUAUUGCACAAUGAGCGGAAGCCUGAGGCAGCAACGCCGCGUGCGGGAUGACGGCCUUCGGGUUGUAAACCGCUUUCGCCUGUGACGAAGCGGGAGUGACGGUAAUGGGUAAAGAAGCACCGGCUAACUACGUG
rnacentral:rRNA from 1 species